rnacentral:lncRNA from 10 species
UCACUUGGGAUCUGUGAAGUCUGGGCUGGACAGACACUGAAUUAGGUGCCUGAGACCUAGAAGUAGACACAGCAGCUCUGGGCCGUGAGCAGCCGUGAGCAGCCGUGAGCAGCCAGCUUUGUGCUCCCAGCAGAGCCUGGCUCUGAAGAACCAGAAGGCAACAGGUUUCUCUUGGGGAGGUCAUUCUCCAGGCCAAGGAGAGGCUGCCUGGCUUUUUCGUGGAGACUGCGUAUAACAGAAAUACUCCUCCUGGGCCGGUGUUCUAGGAGGGCCAAAGUCAAGUCCCUUCCUCCUACUCGGACCUAGGAGCCCCCACCUGAUGUGACUCAUGCCUGAGGCGGAUGCCAGCAGCCUCUCCAGGCAUCCGAAGACAUUUGGGGGGUCCACUUCCCAGGAGCAGCCCCUCCAGCGCCUCUCUCGGCCUGUGUGAUGUUUUCUGAAGAAAGAUGCCUUUUGAUCUAAGGGCGGCAGCGCUGAGAUCUCUCCAUGUCCUCCUUCCAGCCACCUCUGCUCUCUCUCUGCAUCCUGGUGCAGAGCUGUGGGCACCGCGUGGCAUUGGUCAGCUGGCAGGGAGCAUCCAAUCACGAGAGCAUCUGGACCUGUUGGUCCAUCUCCACUUGGUCAUUCCAUGGGAAGCACCCACUCACUAGAGGAUGAGUGGAUGAUGUGACCGCCCAGAUGAAAGAGCUCCGAAUCCACUCAACGGACGACAAACUGAGAAAAAUCAGUGAAAAGAACAGCACUCCAGGCCCACCUUGAAACGCGUGUCUUUGAAGUUUUAAGUGAGGCUGGGUCGCAUCUGACAGCGUGCGCCGCCGUGGGGAGGCUGCCUGAGCUGUCUUCUGGCCUCUGGGCCUUCCAAAAAUGAACGUUUUAACAUCAACGUGGCCAUGGACCCACCUGCUGUACGAGCUGCGGUUGCGCGUGUGAUUUUCCUCUGUGAGGCAGGAGGCAGGCUAGCCUGGGAAGGGCUGGGGGCCUGGAGGAGGUCGGCAGAGACCCGGCCGUGCAUGCGAAUGGAUGCAAGGGGAGCACUGACUGACUCUCGCACACACGUUCAGCCUCCUUCCAGGUGCUGCUCCUUCUCUCUCUGGACUCCACUCUCCCCAAAAUCCCAGGAUAUGUCUCCAAGGGAACAUUUCAUUCUUUCCUCCUCAACCCCCCAAAUGCCCUUGGAGACCCUCAGUUCUCAGCUGAUGGCUUUUCCUCUUGGUGACACGCGGCACCUGCUUUGGGGAAAAUGCAGAAGCCACCAAGCUUCCUGAAACAUCUUCAAUUUUCCCUCUGACAGAUGGAAACACCCCCACUCCUGUUGGAGCCCAGGGCCACCCCUCUGGGCAUUGCACAGACACCAGGCAUAGCGGCAUCCCUUUCCCGGACUCCAGAGUCGUGCCCCUGAAAUCUGUCUAUCCCACAGCCUCCACUUCCCCGCCAGACAUAUUACCUCAAUAGCAGAGACCAAGCUUUAACCUCUUCUACGUUAAAAAAUAACAAUAAUAAAGCUCCUGCCUUAAAAACAAGGAUGUCCUGCCUUCGUCCUCUCCUCUCCUUCUCAAGGCAGGCCAUGGAGAGACUGCCCACCUCCCCGUGCCCACAUCCCCAUGCCCACCUCACCGUUCCCACCUCCCCACACCGCUUCCUCCCCUGGCUGCCACUGAGUCUGCUGUUCCCUCCACUUGGCAUGACUCUCUAAAUCUCACACAGCUCACUCCUUCUUCAGAUCCAGGCAUCAGCCCCAGGCUGCC